GACAGAGGUGCCGAGCGUUAGGCGGAAUCACUGGGCUUAAAGCGUGUGUAGGCGGGUGCCUAAGUACCUUGUGAAAUCCCACGGCUCAACCGUGGAACGGCUGGGUAUACUGGCGGUCUUGAGCCAUCCAGGGGCAGUCGGAACAGACGGUGGAGCGGUGAAAUGCGUAGAUAUCGGUAGGAACACCAGUGGCGAAGGCGGUCUCCUGGGGCAUUCUUGACGCUGAGGCGCGAAAGCUGGGGGAGCGAACGGG
rnacentral:rRNA from 1 species